GCCCGCCUAGCUCAAUCGGAUAGAGCGUCAGACUCUUAGGUGUGGUGAUUUGCGUACCCCCGCAAUCUGAAGGCUGCGAGUUCGACCCUCGCGGUGGGCU